AUAAACAAAUACAUUUCUACAUACAAUAAACAUAAGCACAAUGAAACAUGAAACAAUAACCCCCUGCUCCCAUUGAGAAAUGGACUAUGCCUACACUACCCAGAAUUCUUUGGGAUGGCAUAAAAUGAGGAACAGGAAGGCCGCCCGUCCUCUUAACACCCACCCCCGGAAACCAUGCUGCAGACAUGAACCCAGAAGCCUGGAAGUGUGACCAGACAGACUGCCAGAAAUCCAUAUUGACUUCUCACAGUAUUGCUAUUCUUAUUCUUUGAGAACACAUCAGUAAUCCCGCUUCUUGACAGAUGGUUGACCGUGCCAUGUUCUCUCCGCAGUGAUGCUUUUCCUAGAGGAAAACACAUAUGCUGUGUUCACGCCGUAACAACUGUAAUUUAGAAGAGAUGGAAACCUGUUGAUGUUCUACUUGGAGCGGUUCGUGACUUGAAUUUAUCCCUUUCAAUGGUAACACUAUCAACGCCAAAAUGAAUCUGCAGCGGUCAGGUG